rnacentral:rRNA from 1 species
ACGAGAUCCUGAGAUGUCUCGUGGGCUCGGAGAUGUGUAUAAGAGACAGGUAAACGAUGAAUACUCGCUGUUUGCGAUAUACAGUAAGCGGCCAAGCGAAAGCGUUAAGUAUUCCACCUGGGGAGUACGCCGGCAACGGUGAAACUCAAAGGAAUUGACGGGGGCCCGCACAAGCGGAGGAACAUGUGGUUUAAUUCGAUGAUACGCGAGGAACCUUACCCGGGCUUAAAUUGCAAAGGAAUAAUCUGGAAACAGGUUAGUCUUCGGACCUUUGUGAAGGUGCUGCAUGGUUGUCGUCAGCUCGUGCCGUGAGGUGUCGGCUUAAGUGCCAUAACGAGCGCAACCCUUGUUGUCAGUUACUAACAGGUUCCGCUGAGGACUCUGACAAGACUGCCAUCGUAAGAUGUGAGGAAGGUGGGGAUGACGUCAAAUCAGCACGGCCCUUACGUCCGGGGCUACACACGUGUUACAAUGGGCGGUACAGAAGGCAGCUACCUGGCGACAGGAUGCCAAUCCCUAAAGCCGCUCUCAGUUCGGACUGGAGUCUGCAACCCGACUCCACGAAGCUGGAUUCGCUAGUAAUCGCGCAUCAGCCACGGCGCGGUGAAUACGUUCCCGGGCCUUGUACACACCGCCCGUCAAGCCAUGAAAGCCGGGGGUACCUGAAGUGCGUAACCGCAAGGAGCGCCCUAGGGUAAAACCGGUAAUUGGGGCUAAGUCGUAACAAGGUAGCCGUACCGGAAGGUGCGGCUG